AUGACAGCCCCGCAGCACCACACAAACCCCAUUACCAACCCCAGAAAGCUGGCAAAAGGAGAAGAAGAAAAAAAAAAAGGGCAAAACAAAAACAAAACGGACGCAGAAGCAGCACGGGGCCUGCUCUGUGAGGGAGCGGCGCACUACAAGCCCCACAACGCCUUUCGGGCCGCGGGCAUGCGCCGCCGCCGCCACCGCCACCCCGGGGCUCCACAGCGCGGCGGGCGAGGGGCCGCCGCCUCCCGCUGCCGCCGCCGGAGGGGGCGGUCGGGGCGGCACGGCACGGCGGGGCCGGGCCGGAGGCAGCCGCCGGAGGCAGACCUUCGCUGCUGGUGGCAGGACGUGCUCCCUCCUGUGUCAGCGCACCGUCGGCUCCAACACUGUCCUGCAGCUGCCUCUCCUGUCCUGGCAGAGAACUGCCCCCGUGGUUGUACGGGGUCUCCUGGUGUCAUAAAAGUUGGUGAAGCUGGAAUUCACCCUGGGAAGGGAAGGUGUUACUUCCAUGGGACUUUGAAGGUGAAGAGCUUGAGUAAUCCUUGGUGUUGCUCCCUGGCCUGGAGAUGGAUGCCCUUCUGCAGCUGCGGGGAGACGUCUUGUAAGGUGAGCAGGCCACUAGGGCAUGAAUAUAGGGAAGAACAAUCCCUGUGCCUUGCUGCGAUCUGCGACUGUGUACUUUGUGAGUAUUGGGUAAGGUAAGUGGGCUCGGGCGGAAACCCCACAGGUGGAAUACAGCCAGAUUCUCUGCGUGCAACAUGUUUGGCAGCGCUGCAGGGAGCUGAGGCUGGUCUUCAGUCCUUAAACACAUUAAAUUAACUCUGGGUGAGCUUGCUGGGAAAAGGUUAAUGAAGCAGGUCAGAAAUGGGAUGUGUGUGCUCAGGCGCACGCAGU
rnacentral:lncRNA from 1 species